rnacentral:rRNA from 1 species
AUUGAACGAUGGCGGCAGGCUUAACACAUGCAAGUAGAGCGAGAGGCGGACGGGUGAGUAAGGUCUGGGAAACUGCAUGAUGGAGGGGGAUAACUACUGGAAACGGUAGCUAAAACCGCAUACCAUAAGAUGUGCCAAGAUGGGAUUAGCUAGUAGGUGGGGUAAUGGCUCACAGAGGCGACGAUCCCUAGCUGGGAUGAGAGGAUGACCAGCCACACUGGAACGGUGACACGGUCCAGACUCCUACGGGAGGCAGCGGUGGUGAAUAUUGCACAAUGGGCUCAAGCCUGAUGCAGCCAUGCCGCGUGUGUGAAGAAGGCCUUCGGGUUGUAAAGCACUUUCAGCGAGGAGGCGUUACUCUCAGAAGAAGCACCGGCUAACUCCGUGCCAGCCGCCGCGGUAAUAC